AGCACGGCCCGCUCGGCCGGGUCCAGCACGGAGCCGCCGUGGAUCUUCCGCUUGGAGCGUUCGUGCUUGGGCAGGUUCCAGGGCAGCGUGUCCCCCGGUGCCGGCGACCCCGUGCCCGACUUCUGGCUGAGGUCUUCCUCCUCGGAGAGAUCGGCGGAGGACGACAUGGAGCAGCGUUUUCCAAUAUGAAUUGCAAGACUUAACCCUGAAGGAAUGUACCUACAUUUGUAGAAGCAAACAAAGUUACUGAAGAUUUCUUAGAAGCAAAAAUAAUAAUUUCAGCUCUGAGCAUCUGGGAAACCACAGUACGCAGAACAUCACCUCUACGACCUACAAGUAAGAAACCCUCAAGAAAUCUCUUCAAAGUCCUGAACUACCUAGGAGCUGGGCAAAAGGAACAGAAGAAAUGGGCAACUUCUAGCAUGCAACAGAUGAGCUGCAGGGUGAAGGUAAAAGGAAGUCAGGAGCAAGCAACAAGGGAGGAGGUCACAGAAACGAACAGAAAAGUGGGAAAGAGUCUUUGUGCAAAACUGCUUCAAAAGGGUUUAUGAGGGGAUUUAUCUGCUUUAAGAAAAACAGUGAAACAUAGAAGUCCAAGAAACAGGUGCAAACAGUCCCUUGGUAGGCAUGUGUGUGUUUGGAAAGGGAGAGAGACCUUUAAAGUCAACCUAAUGUCCACUGAAGGCUCUCAUUUAUUUUGAAGGCGACAAAUGCAACUUACACACUUAGAACAGGCACCUAGAGAUACCUUUCAAGAUACUAAGAUGCUUCAAACUUGUUAAAAUUUUUAUAAAUUAAUCACUUAAUAAACCCUCUCCAGUUCUUCUUAAGAUCAAUAUCAAUAUUCUUUAGAUACUGAAGCAAAAACUACACACACUGUUUCCCUUUUUUUAUGUUCAUUCACAUGUUCUUUGCAUUCAUGCGUUCCCUGCAUUUCUUCACUGUGGCUGUAUUCAUCCUUAGAGUGAAUGUGUGCUUCAUGUGCUCAAAGAUUUGUCACACGUUCUGAGAGCAUUAAUAGAAUGUUAAAAAAAUGCUGAAGAUGAAAGAAGAGUUGGUUGUGCUUUGCCAUAUCUGCUUCUAAAUGUGAUUCACAAGAGACGCAACCCAACCCAAGGAGAUGUCUCCAAAAGAAAGCUAUGAAUGUAACCUGUAGAUGAAAUAGCUAAUAGUUGGAAUUAACCAAGUCUUGUGCAAUGUGAUGAGUAAUUUUCGUAUGUCAUCUGAAUUGGGUCACUCAAAAUAUCAAGUAAAGUACAUCUUGAUAUUGAAAAAACAGUAAAUAGCAUCAGAUUAAGAAAAAAAAUGGAAAUUAUGUAAUGAGACUUUAAAAAAAACACUUAAAAAGACCUUCAAAACAAUUUUUCCACAGGAAAUACUUCAUGUGAAGUAACACAAGUGUCAACUAAUACCUAGACCUCUGUUACUGAUCUGGUAUCAAACAUUUUUAAAAUACUAUAUUUUUC